rnacentral:rRNA from 1 species
CUUAAAGGAAGGCUCUUUGCUCCAUUGGAUGUCGAAUCGGGAUUCACUAACACAGAAAUAAAGCAUUGGGUCGAACUCUUCUUUGGUGUUAAGGUGGUAGCUCUGAAUAGCCAUCGACUACGUGGAAAAGGUAGAAGAAUAGGACCUAUUCUGGGCCAUACAAUGCAUUACAGACGUAUGAUCAUUACACUUGAGGAUUUUCUACAAGCCGCCGCCUCACCCUGCUCGCCCUCUUUUUCUCUUGCGAACCUACGUUGA